AUUCAUGAGCUUCCCGUCUCAGUCUUCUGAGUGCCAGGAGGAUAGUGUACGCCAGUACUCCUGGAAGGGGCUUCUCGACUGGUGUGUUCUCGCCACUCUUUGGGCUUGAUUGGUCAGCCCCACAAUCACGUAUACAUGAAGGACAUAUAUAUUUUUCCUUCUGGUCCUGUUGCACUAAUGGUCGGGUAAGAGCCCUUUCCUGGGUAUCUCCUCCCUUGCUAGUCUUUCUCAGGUGGAUGUAUAUACGAUAAUAAAGGCAGCCCUCCACGAACAUAAGUGUACAGGAGAGCAGGAAUUUUAUCACUGUUCUUUCCCUUUAUCACAAGGAAAUGAAGGACUAGCAGGCUUGAGCCUUCAGAAGGAAGGCAUUUCACACCAUACCUCCCUCUCUUCCUACCCAUCCCUCAUUCCCAUUCUCUCUUACUCAAAUGCUGGAUCCUUACGUUAGCUUUUCAUUGCUGAGAAAUAUCCAAGCUAAUCAACUUGAAGGGAUGAAGAAUACAUUUUGGAUUGAAGUUUCAGAGAUUUCAGUUCAUGGUCACUUGGUUGUAUUGCUUUGAGCCUAUGCUGCCACAGUGGCGGCACAUGGUAGAUGAAGACUUUUCACUUCAUGGUGGCCAGAAAGCAAAGCAGAAAAGUAAGAGUGUCCACAAUUCCUGUAUCUGCUCCAAGAGCUACCUCAAGUGAUCUAAUGUCGCACCAGGCCCCAUUUCCUGAAGGUUCUGUUGCCUCCCAAUAGUGCCAGAGGCUGGCAACCAAAUCUUUAACCUGAAGGUCCUUUAGGGGACCCUUUUGGUCCCAGCUAUGGUAGUCCUCUUUUCAUACUGCUGUCUCUUCUAAGGUCCUGAACUGGUGCUCAUUAACUCUUCCCUUGGGGGUGGCAGGGGGAUGCUCCAGGUUCCUCCAUCCUUUGCUAUGUGUAUAAACUCCCGGGUUUGGCUGUACUGCAGAAACCUGCUAUCUCCUCAGGUUUUUACUAGGAAGAAAACAAAAUGGUAUCUAAAACAGGUCUAUGACUCCAUUUUUUAGGCCCCUGACCUGUGAUAACAGUGGGUAAUUUCUCUCUUACUUGUUAAAGACACACAAAGCUCUUACCUACAAAGCCCAACUGACAGUCUGGUCUCCUGUGGCCACAGACUCACUUGGCCUUGUUUAUGCUACAAUACCUCUUGGAAAGAGGAGUUCAGAGAUUUGGAGGAAGGAAUGUACCUUCUCCAGGCUUGCCUCAGAAACAGCCAGUGUAAGGAUUUAAGACGGAUCAGCAAGCUGUAGUGGCAGAGCAAACAUGUUCUGACAAACGAACAGAAGGGUACACAUUAUCUCAGGCAGAAGGAUUGUGUCUUCUACUCAAGCUGUGCUUCUGGGGAUCUUCCUUUUCAGGGGAGUCAGUCUUGUGAGGCUGACUUCCUUGACAGCUACUGAGGAAAAGGAAUCCAU